rnacentral:rRNA from 1 species
UACAUAGGGGGCAAGCGUUAUCCGGAAUUAUUGGGCGUAAAGGGUGCGUAGGCGGCUAGUUAAGUUCAUGGUCUAAAUUUAAGGCUCAACCUUAAAAUGCUUUGAAAACUGGCUAGCUUGAGAGAGGUAGAGGCAAGUGGAAUUCCAUGUGUAGCGGUAAAAUGCGUAAAUAUAUGGAGGAACACCAGUGGCGAAGGCGGCUUGCUGGGCCUUAUCUGACGCUGAUGCACGAAAGCGUGGGGAGCAAACAGG